AGUUUUCUUCUUAUUCAGGCAGCAUAUGGUCACAAUAAAUUUCAUAUUCUUUGCCUGCAAUUUCUUAUUUCUGGUUUGCUGAUUAUAUUAUUUUCUACAGAGAAUUGAAUUUAUAGGACUCGAAAAUAUGGGAUCCAGAAUGGUCGAUAGCUUGAUUAAAGUUGGAUAUGAGGUCGCAUUACAUGACAUUCAUUCAAUUCUUAAAUAUAUGGCUUGUGCAUUUCCAAGAAUUGCAGAUCAUUGGUACCCAACUGACUUAUACAAAAGAGCAAAGGUAGACUUUGUGUUGGAUUGGCAUCACUCUAUCUUGCGUCGUGGUGCAGCAGCAGAAGCUGAGAAAGUCCUUUUGACAUCGAUCGAGUCUGUUUGGCUCAAAGAAAAAGGAUAAUUUUUUGCUUGGAAGUGGCCAGCCUUUAAUUGUAGAUCUUAGCUUAGUGUGUGAGAUUAUGCAACUUGAGGAUUUGGAUGAGAAGGAUCGUGAGCGAAUAAUAGGCCCAUACAAGAGAGUUUUGAAGUGGAUCUAUGACACAAAGAAUGCCAUGGAACCUCAUUUCCAAGAGGUCACUUCCAUGCUUUCAAAAAGGCUCAUAGGAUGGAUCCAACAUCAAAUGGGCGUGGUGUUCGUCAAUGCAAGAAAUACCUGUUUCAUAGACUUGAAAGGGUAGGAACAUCAUAUUCAAGUUAAACUUUGUGGUUUUAUCUUUCUUAUAAAACCUCCUUAAAUGUACUUUGCUGCUGCUAUUUUGUAUAGCCAUAGAUGAGAGGAUUUUCUACAAGUUGACCUCAAGUGACUUAGUAGGUUCGUUGUGAUGGACUAUAUCUCUGUGUUUUACAAUAGGCUCCCUCUAAAAUAUAUUAUGGAUUUUUUCACAUUUUAGCCAGCAUCUGUAUUAUUCAAUUGAUUCCCAGUAUAUUGGGAUAUGGCCACCGUGUAUACCAAAAUUAAUUUAUUUUCUUUUAGUGGUGUCAUUAUCUGGAGGGUAUACUACUUCAACCUCCGGGUUACAACAUUAAACAUGCUUAUUCUAUUUCUUGUUAGAUGUCAAAACUCCAAUGUGACGAAUAACUUCCAUUUGAUAUGUUUGUUUG